rnacentral:rRNA from 1 species
UACGGGGGGGGCAAGCGUUGUUCGGAUUUACUGGGCGUAAAGGGCGUGCAGGCGGUUUGUUAAGUUCAGGGUGAAAGCUCCCGGCUCAACUGGGAGAGGUCCUUGGAUACUGGCAGACUUGAGGAGGGUAGAGGAGAGUGGAAUUCCCGGUGUAGUGGUGAUAUGCGUAGAUAUCGGGAGGAACACCAGUGGCGAAGGCGGCUCUCUGGGCCCUACCUGACGCUGAGACGCGAAAGCGUGGGGAGCGAACCGG